rnacentral:hammerhead_ribozyme from 1 species
AUCCAGCUGACGAGUCCUAAAUAAGACGCAACUCACGUCCUGGAU